CUUCACCGAGCCCAGCAGCAGCGGCCGUUCUUCGGGGCGGCCCGUGCCGUAUGUGGCCAGCAGGGCCUGUGCCUC
rfam:Streptomyces autolyticus strain CGMCC0516, complete genome.